rnacentral:SRP_RNA from 1 species
AGGAAGGCAGCAGAGCUGCGGGAGGCUGCGCGGGUGGCGU